UACGUAGGGGGCAAGCGUUGUCCGGAUUUAUUGGGCGUAAAGAGCGUGUAGGCGGCCAAACAGGUCAGCUGUGAAAACUCGAGGCUCAACCUCGAGACGUCGGUUGAAACCGUUUGGCUAGAGUCCGGAAGAGGAGAGUGGAAUCCCGGUGUAGCGGUGAAAUGCGCAGAUAUCGGGAAGAACACCCGUGGCGAAGGCGGCACCUGGACCAGCACUGACACUGAGGCACGAAAGCGUGGGGAGCAAACAG
rnacentral:rRNA from 1 species